rnacentral:rRNA from 1 species
CCUACGGGUGGCAGCAGUGAGGAAUAUUGGUCAAUGGGCGGAAGCCUGAACCAGCCAAGUCGCGUGAGGGAGUAAGGCCCUACGGGUCGUAAACCUCUUUUGCCGGGGAGCAGUGCCCAGCUUGUGAGCUGGGAGGGAGCGUACCCGCAGAAAAAGCAUCGGCUAACUCCGUGCCAGCAGCCGCGGUAAUACGGAGGAUGCGAGCGUUAUCCGGUUUUAUUGGGGUAAAAGGGUGCGUAGGCGGGCCUUCAGGCCGGCGGUAAAAUUGCGGGGCUCAACCCCGCCGAGCAGUCGACACCGGGGGCCUUGAGUACCGGAAAGGUACGCGGAAGGCGUGGUGUAGCGGUGAAAUGCAUAGAUAUCAGGCAGAACCCCGAUUGCGAAGGCAGCGUACCGGCCGGUCACUGACGCUGAGGCGCGAAAGCGCGGGUAGCGAACAGGAUUAGAUACCCUAGUAGUC